UGGGGAAUAUUGGACAAUGGGCGAAAGCCUGAUCCAGCAACGCCGCGUGAGGGAUGACGGCCUUCGGGUUGUAAACCUCUUUCAGCAGGGACGAAGCGAGAGUGACGGUACCUGCAGAAGAAGCACCGGCCAACUACGUGCCAGCAGCCGCGGUAAUACGUAGGGUGCAAGCGUUGUCCGGAAUUAUUGGGCGUAAAGGGCUCGUAGGCGGUCCAUCGCGUCGGGAGUGAAAAGCUGGGGCUCAACCCCAGUCCUGCUUCCGAUACGGGUGGACUAGAGGUAGGCAGGGGAGAACGGAAUUCCUGGUGUAGCGGUGAAAUGCGCAGAUAUCAGGAGGAACACCGGUGGCGAAGGCGGUUCUCUGGGCCUUACCUGACGCUGAGGAGCGAAAGCGUGGGGAGCAAACA
rnacentral:rRNA from 1 species